rnacentral:rRNA from 1 species
GGUCAAGCUACUAAGGGUUUAUAGUGGAUGACUUGGUGAAGUAGAGCGAUGAAGGACGCGGUAAGCGGCGAUACUGCUUCGGGGAGCUGCAAACAAGCUUUGAUCCGGAGGAUUCCCAAUGGGGCAACCUUUCUUGGGUAAUACCAGGAAAUUUCUUACUGAAUAUAUAGGUAAGAAAAGCUACACCCGGCGAACUGAAACAUCUAAGUAGCCGGAGGAAAAGAAAUCACAGAGAUUCCCCCAGUAGUGGCGAGCGAAAAGGGAACAGCCUAAACCUGUUAAUUUAUUAAUAGGGGUUGCGGGACCUCAAUGUGGUAGAUGGAAGAAUAGCAGAAUUGCCUGGAAAGGCAGACCAUAGAAAGUGAAAGUCUUGUAUGCAAAAUUCUGAAGUCGCCUAGAGGUAUCCCAAGUACUACGGGGCACGGGAAAUCCCGUAGGAAUCCAGGCCGACCAUGGUCUAAGGCUAAAUACUAACUUCAACCGAUAGUGAAAAAGUACCGUGAGGGAAAGUUGAAAAGAACGCAGAUUAUGCGAGUGAAAUAGAACCUGAAACUAUAAACUUACAAAGCUGUCGCAGGGCUAUGCUUAUCGUAAGAUAAGAAUGCCUGACGGCGUACCUAUUGAAUAAUGGACCGGCGAGUUAGUUUGAUAAGCAAGCCUAAGGUUAUACAGACCGAAGGCGUAGGGAAACCAAGUCCUAACAGGGCGUUUAGUUUGUCAAAAUAGACCCGAAACUGAGUGAUCUAUCCAUGGCCAGCGUGAAGCCUUGCGAAAGCAAUGUGGAGGCGCGAACCCGUCAAUGUUGAAAAAUUGUGGGAUGAGCUGUGGAUCGGAGCGAAAGACUAAUCAAACUCAGAAAUAGCUGGUUCUCCCCGAAAUAGUUCUAGGACUAGCCUCGUGUUUACUAUGUAGCGGAGGUAGAGUGCUGAAUGGGAUAUGGGGCCUUACCAGGCUGCCAAACCCAACCAAACUCCGAAUGCCGCUAUAAUUAUCACGGGAGUCAGACAGUUAGGGCUAAGCUUAAUUGUCAAAAGGGAAACAGCCCAGACCUUCAGUUAAGGUCCCUAAACGUAGACUAAGUGGUUAAGGAUGUAAGACCGCAUUAACAGCCAGGAUGUUGGCUCAGAGGCAGCCAUCAUUUAAAGAGUGCGUAAUAGCUCACUGGCCGAGCGAUCUUGCGCCGAAAAUGAGGGGGGCUUAAGUCUACUACCGAAGCUAAGGAUUUGAAAGAGAUUCGUCUCUUUUAAGUGGUAGGGGAGCGUUCCGUACUAGGUUGAAGGCAUACCGUAAGGAGUGCUGGACGAUACGGAAGUGAGAAUGCCGGUAUGAGUAGCGAAAAAAUCCGCGAGAAACGGAUUCACCGAAAGUCUAAGGUUUCCUGGGGAAGGUUAAUCCGCCCAGGGUUAGUCGAUCCUAAGCUGAGGCCGAAAGGCGUAAGCGAUGGACAAGGCGUUAAUAUUCGCCUACUGGCUAAUUGGUGUUAACAACUGCAUGGUGACACAGCAGCUCUAUGGCUGCGCACGUUUGGAUGUGUGCGUUUUUCUAAGAGGGAUCUUAGGAAGGGAGGCCGCGCUACGGCAAGGUCGAAGUGAUGUAAGAGCCUACUGUCGAGAAAAGCCAUGUCAGGGAAUCAAUUAGUUAAUCGUACCGUAAACCGACACAGGUAGACCACCAGAGAAUGGUAAGGUGCUCGAGAUAACUCUCGUCAAGGAACUCGGCUAUAUUCGCCCCGUAACUUCGGGAGAAGGGGUACCCUGUUUUGAAAGAUUCAGGGUUUCAAUGAAUUGGCCCGGGUGACUGUUUAGCAAAAACACAUCUCUCUGCAAACUCGCAAGAGGACGUAUAGGGAGUGACACCUGCCCGGUGCUGGAAGGUUAAGAGGAGAGGUCAAUCUGGCUUGCCAGAUGAAGCUUUGAAUUGAAGCCCCAGUAAACGGCGGCCGUAACUAUAACGGUCCUAAGGUAGCGAAAUUCCUUGUGGGGUAAGUUCCCACGCGCACGAAUGGUGUAACAACUUGGGCGCUGUCUCGACGAGAGACUCGGUGAAAUUGUAGUGGCGGUGAAGAUGCCGCCUACCCGCAUCAAGACGAAAAGACCCCAGAACCUUUACUGUAGCCUGAUAUUGGGUUUUGAUUUAAUUUGUGUAGUAUAGGUGGGAGGCUUUGAAGCAUAGGCGCUAGCUUGUGCAGAGCCGAAAUGUGAAAUACCACCCUUAUUGUGUUAAGAUCCUAAUCCUUAGCCUUGAAACAGGCAAGGAGACAGUGCCAGGUGGGCAGUUUGACUGGGGCGGUUCCCCUUUAAAAGGUAACAAGGGGGCCCAAAGGUUGGCUCAGGACGGUCGGCAAUCGUCUGUGGAGUGUAAACGCAAAAAGCCAGCUUAACUGCGAGGGAGACAUCCCGAGCAGAUGCGAAAGCAGGGGUUAGUGAUCCGGUGGUUCUGCAUGGUAGGGCCAUCGCUCAACGGAUAAUAGGUACUCUGGGGAUAACAGGCUGAUCGCGCUCGAGAGUUCAUAUCGACAGCGCGGUUUGGCACCUCGAUGUCGGCUCAUCAUAUCCUGGGGCUGGAUAAGGUCCCAAGGGUCCGGCUGUUCGCCGGUUAAAAUGGUACGCGAGCUGGGUUCAGAACGUCGUGAGACAGUUCGGUCUCUAUCUGGUGUGGGCGUAGGAUAUUUGAAGAGGAGUUGCUUCUAGUACGAGAGGACCGAGGUAAACGAACCUAUGGUGUUCCAGCUGUCCUGCCAAGGGCAAAGGCUGGGUAGCUAUGUUCGGAAUGGAUAAGCGCUGAAGGCAUAUAAGUGCCAAGCCAACCUCAAGAUUAGAUAUCCCAAUCAGGCUGGUCGAAGACUACGACCUUGAUAGGCUGCGUGUGUAAGGCUGGUAACAGCUUAAGCUAAGCAGUACUAAAUGCCAAUUGGCUUGACCUA